rnacentral:rRNA from 1 species
AUUGAACGCUGGCGGCAUGCCUUACACAUGCAAGUCGAACGGUAACGCGGGGGCAACCCUGGCGACGAGUGGCGAACGGGUGAGUAAUACAUCGGAACGUACCUGGUAGUGGGGGAUAGCCCGGCGAAAGCCGGAUUAAUACCGCAUACGCACCACGGUGGAAAGCGGGGGACCGCAAGGCCUAGCGCUAUCAGAGCGGCCGAUGGCAGAUUAGCUAGUUGGGGGGGUAAAAGCCUACCUCGGCGACGAUCUGUAGCUGGUCUGAGAGGACGACCAGCUACACUGGGACUGAGACACGGCCCAGAAUGCUACGGGAGGCAGCAGUGGGGAAUUUUGGACAAUGGGGGAAACCCUGAUCCAGCGAGGCCGCGUGUAUGAAGAAGGCCUUCGAGUUGUAAAGCACUUUUGUUCGGGAAGAAAUCUGUCGGGCUAAUACCCUGGCGGGAUGACGGUACCGGAAGAAUAAGCACCGGCUAACUACGUGCCAGCAGCCGCAGUAA